UACGUAGGGUGCGAGCGUUGUCCGGAAUUAUUGGGCGUAAAGAGCUCGUAGGCGGUUUGUCACGUCGUUCGUGAAAACCUGCAGCUUAACUGUGGGCGUGCGGUCGAUACGGGCAUCACUGGAGUUCGGCAGGGGAGACUGGAAUUCCUGGUGUAGCGGUGAAAUGCGCAGAUAUCAGGAGGAACACCGGUGGCGAAGGCGGGUCUCUGGGCCGAUACUGACGCUGAGGAGCGAAAGCGUGGGGAGCAAACAGG
rnacentral:rRNA from 1 species